UACGGGGGGGGCAAGCGUUGUUCGGAAUUACUGGGCGUAAAGGGCUCGUAGGUGGCCAACUAAGUCAUACGUGAAAUCCCUCGGCUUAACCGGGGAACUGCGUCUGAUACUGGAUGGCUUGAGGUUGGGAGAGGGAUGCGGAAUUCCAGGUGUAGCGGUGAAAUGCGUAGAUAUCAAGAGGAACACCUGAGGUGAAGACGGGUUGCUGGGCCAACACUGACGCUGAGGCGCGAAAGCCAGGGGAGCAAACGGG
rnacentral:rRNA from 1 species